GAUGAACGCUAGCGGCAGGCCUAACACAUGCAAGUCGAGGGGGAGGUUACUUUCGGGUGACUGAGACCGGCGUACGGGUGCGUAACGCGUAUACAAUCUGCCUUUCACUGGGGGAUAGCCCGAAGAAAUUUGGAUUAAUACCCCAUAGUAUAUAGGGACGGCAUCGUUUUUAUAUUAAAGCUACGGUGGUGAAAGAUGAGUAUGCGUUCUAUUAGCUAGUUGGAGAGGUAACGGCUCCCCAAGGCGAUGAUAGAUAGGGGUUCUGAGAGGGAUGUCCCCCACACUGGUACUGAGAUACGGACCAGACUCCUACGGGAGGCAGCAGUGAGGAAUAUUGGACAAUGGUCGGAAGACUGAUCCAGCCAUGCCGCGUGCAGGAUGACGGCCUUAUGGGUUGUAAACUGCUUUUGUAAGGGAAGAAUAAGGGCUACGCGUAGUUUGAUGACGGUACCUUACGAAUAAGCAUCGGCUAACUCCGUGCCAGCAGCCGCGGUAAUACGGAGGAUGCGAGCGUUAUCCGGAAUCAUUGGGUUUAAAGGGUCUGUAGGCGGGCUGGUAAGUCAGAGGUGAAAGCGCUUAGCUCAACUAAGCAACUGCCUUUGAAACUGUUGGUCUUGAAUGGUUGUGAAGUAGUUGGAAUGUGUAGUGUAGCGGUGAAAUGCUUAGAUAUUACACAGAACACCGAUAGCGAAGGCAUAUUACUAACAAUUAAUUGACGCUGAUGGACGAAAGCGUGGGGGAGCGAACAGGAUUAGAUACCCUGGUAGUCCAAGGGCGAAUUCCACAGUGGAUAUCAAGCUUAUCGAUACCGUCGACCUCGAGGGGGGGGCCCGAAUUCUACAAACAUUUUGUUCCCUUUAGUGAGGGUUA
rnacentral:rRNA from 1 species